CUUCUCUUACUAGGAUGUGAAUACAAAUCUCCAACCCAGGCAUACCCGGUGAAAACCUGGGCCUCCCUUGGACUUACCAGGAAGGUCAGAGCUGCCGAGGAACCUUCUGUCACCAAGAGCAGAAAGACCUGGCCAUGAAGGGACCACUUUAGAAGUGGCGGGAUGUGGCAGUGUCAUCUGUCUGGGAUGCACACUUCUGCUGGACCACUCAAGGUGCUUCUUGUUCUAGCAGGAAGGGGAAUAUUCCAGUGGGUUCCUGCUUUGGAGGGGGAGAUUGUUGUGCAGCUGAACCCUGAGCCUGGAUGAGAGUUAGCUGGGUGGGGGCACCAGAACCUGGAGACCCAGACUGCUGAACAGCUGGGUGUGAAAUAGAGCAUACCACAAACUUGGGGGCUCGGCACUGCAGAAAUGCAUUCUUCCAUAAGAGGCCAAAGAUCCAGAAUCCAGGUUUCAUCAGGAUUGGUUCUCUCUGGAGGCUCCAAGGGACAUCGGUUCCAUGCCUUUCUCCCAGUUUCUGGUGGUCGCCAGCAACCCUUGGCAUUCCUGGGUCUGUAGAUGCCUCACUCUGAUCUCUGCCUCUGUCUUACAUGGCUUUCUUUCUUCUGCAUGCCUCCAUGAGUCUCAAAUCUCUCUGUCUUUCUAAGGACAUCUGCCAUGGGAUAUAGGGCCCACUCUAAAUCCAGGAUGAUCUCAUCUUGAGGUCUUUAACUUAAUUACAUCUGUAAAGACUUUUUUCUGAAUAAGGUCACAUCCCCAUGUUUCAAAGGGUUAGGACUUGGUCAUAUCCUCUUGGGGGUCAUUAUUCAACCCACUACCAAGAGGGUCCAGCAAGAGUGAAGACACUGCUACUCUCAUUGCCCUUUGGGCUACCACAGUUGGUCACGGCAUGUUGCAAAUCUCUCUCUGUCUAAUAAUUUGCAUGAUCUUAUAUUUGCAAAAGUUUCCAGCUCCUGGAACCUAAAUUGCAGCCUUUCAGCCAGUUCAGACCUGGCUGGAAGAUGGGUAUAACGGGGCCCUUUUGCAGAAGACAUUGGAGUGCUCAAUGGAAGGGGAAAUAGAGGGACACUUUGGGGCAGGUGAUCAGUUCCUGAGGAGCAAGGUUCUUCUUGAAACUCCUCCUCUUCUCUGCUUGUUGUCACUCCCUGGCCUUGUGUUGGUGGGCACCCCCCUCCCCCAUCCCUGCAACCCUCCCAGAUAGGAAAGCUUGAUUUGGGUUUGUUCAGUGUUUGGAGAGCUAGAGCCACUGCGUGGCAUUCUGUUUGGGAGCUGUAUCAUGACAGAGAAGGUCUGGCCUGCGGCUUGAGUUUCUUGGUGAAACUGAGAGACCCAAGGUGACAUGUCUGAGACCCCAUGUGGACAGGAAGGAAGCCUCCAUAGGGCGCAGGAACUUGGAAGCUGUCACUGAGUAAGAUACUCCAGGAAUCCUCACCUCACACCCUCUUUACCAAAGGGGGUAGCCAUUUUUAAAAAAAGAUUUUA